rnacentral:rRNA from 1 species
GUAGGUGGCAAGCGUUGUCCGGAAUUAUUGGGCGUGAAGCGCGCGCAGGUGGUUCUUUAAGUCUGAUGUGAAAGCCCCCGGCUCAACCGGGGAGGGUCAUUGGAAACUGGGGAACUUGAGUGCAGGAGAGGAAAGUGGAAUUCCACGUGUAGCGGUGAAAUGCGUAGAUAUGUGGAGGAACACCAGUGGCGAAGGCGACUUUCUGGCCUGUAACUGACACUGAGGCGCGAAAGCGUGGGGAGCAAACAGGGAUUAGAUACCCUGGUAGUCCACGCCGUAAACGAUGAGUGCUAAGUGUUGGGGGGGUUUCCGCCCCCUCAGUGCUGCAGCUAACGCAUUAAGCACUCCGCCUGGGAGUACGGUCGCAAGACUG